AAGUCGAUUUUUCAUCCGAUAAAUUGGCCAAUGCGUCCAAUUUCACUCCAACUUGCUCCAUUUCUUUUCCAAUUCCUCAAUUCACCAAAAACUAUUAUUUCUUAAUCAAAUCACCUAGAAUAACAUCCCAUUCUUCCUCAUUAUUCACUUAGAGAAUUCGGCUAUUGAUGGGCACCAAACCUUUGGUGGUUUUCUUCACUUGUUUUCAUGCUACACAUCAUUAAUCACCUAAAAACACUAACAUACCUAAAAAUCAAACCAAUCCAAGAUCAUUCUCUCUCCAUACCCAUUUUGACCAGCCAUGAAUUCACCAUGAAAGCAUGCUUUUCAACCAUGAAAAUUAAGGAAAAAUGCAUGGGUAAGGUAAAUCACUAGCAAAAUCAAAGAAAUUUUACCUUUGCUUGAUCAAAUCCUUGAAUUCCAACACUUUCUCUUUGAUUUUUUUCACCUAGGGUUUGUUCUUCCUUGGUUUCUCUUCUCUUCUG
rnacentral:lncRNA from 1 species